UUGUUCAUGAAUGUCCCUAAUGUUUUCGCUCGACCAUUGACUGAGAUGCUUACUAAAAAGUUUCAGCAUACUUUGAAGCCCUCCACAUAACAUUACCUUCAAUAUUUGUGUUCCAUAUCUACUGAACCAUAUCUAGAAAACCUGGUUGAAUGGUCCAGAAGUUGAGGAAUUUGAAGUAUUUGAUGUAAUGUUGUUGGUCAUGACAUUUAAAUAGAAGGGGUCUAUGAUCAGAACCAUUCCUUACCAAAUGUUUCACAGUGUUGCUUUGGAAGAGUUGGGCCCAUAGAUCAUUGGUCAUAAUUCUGUCUAGUCUCUUCCAAAUUCUUUUACUAGGCCUUCUAUUGUUGCACCAAGUGUACCUUUGGCAAGUGAAACCAAUGUCCAUUAAGCCACAAGAUUCCAUAGUACUAAUAAAAUCCAGACUUCUAAAUGCUGUAUGAGUAUUACCCUCUAGUUUUUCAAUCAGAUACAUGAUAAUAUUGAAGUCACCACCAAUACACCAAGGGCCAUCAAUAAUGUUGUUCAUGUUAUGAAUACUAUCUUACAAAUCCCUUCUUUCACUAGCAGCAUAUUUGGCAUAUACUGCUAUAAUAAAGGUUCCUGAAUCUGCAGCAUUAUCUUUCAUUUUAAGAGUAAUUUGUUGUUCAGUGUUUGCCAACACCUCAGUGUGAUCCAGGUAGUUCUAAAAGAACCAGAUCUUACCAAUGACAUUAGCCUGACAAUGUUGAAAUCCUAAGAACCUUUUGUAGCCAUGUAUCUUACUCAUAUCAACAAAUGGAUCAUAAAUAGCUACAAAAGCCACUUGGUUGAUGUUGAUAAGAAGUUCAAGUCUGUGAAUAGCCUUUUUGGAUAUCACCCCUCUUAUAUUCCAAAAGAUUGUACUAAUUGUUAGGUUUAGGGGGAGGUGUGCUAUUUGUAUCCUCUU
rnacentral:lncRNA from 1 species